rnacentral:rRNA from 1 species
AACGUAGGAGACGAACGUUAUCCGGAGUUACUGGGCGUAAAGGGCGUGUAGGCGGUAUGCUAAGUCUGGCGUGAAAGCUCUCGGCUAAACCGGGAGAGGUCGUUGGAUACUGGCAAACUAGAGGAUGGUAGAGGCGUGUGGAAUUCCGGGUGUAGUGGUGAAAUGCGUAGAGAUCCGGAGGAACACCAGUGGCGAAGGCGACACGCUGGGCCAUACCUGACGCUGAGACGCGAAAGCGUGGGGAGCGAACCGG